CACUAGAUCUACUGCAGAGGGCGUGAACGCGCCAAUCUACGUGCACUAUUCAUGUCCAACUCCAAUGCCAGCAUUGGUAUGGUGAAGGAUGUUAUAGGGCGGUCUUGCCCGUGGUGGCUUUCUCGCCUUCUUGCAGAAACAAGGGGUACAGAGAGCACCCCUAAGCUGCUGACCACGUCAGCCCAGAGGCUUCAGGUAGGCGGCCAACUCUCUGGGAGUUGCGAUAACCCGGCUCUAUUUCCCUUUCGCCAUACUCUGCACUUAAAUGCCUCUACGCCGAUCGCGGAGGCUCAGGUGAUCAUGACGCAUGGGAGGCGACUAAGGAUGGUUUCUCGAAACUAUGGCGAUGUGAAGUGGCACGUCGACCUCUCCGACUUUCUCUCGUGUAGCGGGACAUGUCUGACCGAGGUUGAAGAAGAAGUGGAGCGACUGACUCAACUUACGCGGAGGAACUCGUACACCUCUCCAUUCUGGGUAACGCAACUGCAGUUAGAAAGCCACUUUCGGAACGCUCUUGCUGGGUUCUCUACGGGCUGCCCGCCUACGAACUUGGCGCAUGUCUGCGAAGUGUAUGAAAACCCGAACAUGUUUGUAGAGCUCAGUUGCGGGGCGGCGACGACGGCGCGUUACGCCAACCUGGGCGAGUUUCGAAUGCAACCACAUCUCGGGCUCUCCUUGAAAUCGUGCAUAUCGUUUUUACGCGUAUUUUCGCCCAUUAACGUGCAAACUCGACGUGCCUUCGACGCGUGUGUGGAGUCGCGCCUGCGAUUGGAGUGCCAGCAAAGCGGGUGCUGGUGCAGUGUAUGGGGUACCGCGCAGGACUACGCGAGCUGCGGGUUUGCUCCCCUUGACGGCGCCAUUGGUGUCGACGUGUUCGACGCCCUUGGGAAUCCUCUCUUUCUCAUCCACGCCCUAUGCACGACUGCGCCACUGGACGUUUUCUCCAGGUGCUACCCCAACGAUAGUAUUUUCAUCAGCGACGACACCCGUUGAUCCUUUUUUGUUGUGUUUGUGCUCUUCUUCCUGCUUCAUUCUGUUCCGCUCUGGUGCUCUGCAACUACGCUCUGCCGUGUUUCAGAAAAAACAAC
rnacentral:misc_RNA from 1 species